AAAAGGAAAGAUAAGGGGGGGGGGGGGGGGGAUCAGAAGGUGGGGUUGUGGGUAAGAGGAGGAAGAAGCUACGAGUUAGCUUUAGGGAUCAGUUAGGAGGAGAGCUUGCUGAGGUUGUUGGGAUGUCUGAUGGAGCAGACGUGGACACAGAGCCUGAUCCGAUUGGUGUCAAAGAAGGGAGCUUGCUUUCCUGAGUGUCGUCUUUCUUCUUAUAUUUAUGUAUGCAUCCCACCGUAGUCAAGACAGCAUAUGAGAGGUAUUCUAAAAGCUAGCUGUGGUAAAUGUGGCUCAUAAGAAGUUUUUGCUAAAGAACUCUCACAGUUGGCAAGUGGUUGACUUCCUCAUUUGCCCAUGAGCUGGCGGCACUGAGCAAUACAGAGGCUGCAUCACAGCACAUGUUCCAUGGCAGGUGCUUCAACACUCCAUGUUCUACAAGUUCUAAGCUCACUAACUUCUGUUAGUGAUGAUAGCAAUAUUUGAAACCGAAGAGAAAGCAGAACACGAGGAACAAAAUACUGUGAAAAGACUAGACCCCUUGGCAAGGACAUAGCCAGUGUAUCGCAUAACUGAGUUGUUGAUGGAUCAUAUUGCAGCUACAACAACCCAUAUCCAAUGGUGAUCAUGCCCUUGGGGUCUCUCCUUUGUCCCCUCUUUCUCCAGGAACUCAGAGGUUCCUUCCUCUUAUUGUGCUUAUCUUUGUUCUAUGUCAGAAAAUUCAAACUCUGUUAAUGUUACAGCAGAAUCAUGCGAAUGUGAUAGAUGGAGAGUCCGCCAUAGUUCAUCUUCUAAAUCCAGCGUAGCUUCUCUGGAAAAUCGAAGGCUCCUGACAUUUGCAAAGUUUGCGGAGAAGCAUAGGCAAAAUCCAAGAUUACUAGAGAACCUUUCUGAAUCUAAGGCACCAGGUUGAAGGAUUUUGAAAACAAGAGAGGUAAAGGUCCCUGCAUAUAAGUGUUUGCUGAGCUUAUGUAUUGGAAGAUUCAUACAACCAGUUACGUAUGCGCUCCCCACAUGAUCUGAAAGGACGUCUGAAUGUGCAGUUUCAAGUUGAAGAAUGUUGCUUGUAGUCUUACAAGAUAGUGGUAUAAGUUAGUUUCACAAUUAUAUUUGACAUACGUUAACAGUUUUAUUCAAAUUGUUUCAAAUCAAAUAUAAUUUAAAAUAUGUUUCCAUUUUUUGACCGAGAACUUAAAAAAUAUAUUUAAUGAACGUAUGUAACUAUUUCUGGAACUAUAAAUUAAUAAAUAAUUUUCUGAAAUUGUAUCUUUGUCGUACCUGAAUAACAUAUGAUAAACAGCGUUGAUGUGCGUACUGCUAUUAGAUUACAGUCCUGAAUCAUAUUUGUUCUCCGGAAUAUCAAAUUGUUUAACUAAAAUAGAAUAUGCUCAAGUGCUGGCUAAAAUAGCUUUUACAUGCCAAAUACGAAGUCAGUUAUAUAUAAUUUUAAUAUUUUGAAACUUGACUGAUAAGCAUUUGACAACUAUCAAAUGAGUUUUUCAUUCUUCUUCUCAUUUUCAUUUCGUUUCUUUUUUUAUUAUUGAGAUACUUUGAUUUUUUAUUAGCAUUGAAAUAUUUUAUGAGAUGUUUACUAAGACCAUCUUCAAUGGUUCACUCUAUUUUUUCAUCAAAACAGAGUUAUUCUAUAAUAAAAUUGAAUACUACUCCAAUAAUACUAAGUUUUAGAGUGAAAAAUAAAUUGAUGAAUAAAAAAUAAAUGAAUUAUUUUAUUUAUAGAGUACACCUUUUUUACUCUAUUAUAGAAUAAAAAGUAAAGUAUAAUUGAAGCAUUUUUACUCUAAACUCUAUUUUAGAUGAGAAAAUAGAAUGUGCUUAGAGAUGCUCCAAUGUAAAUGUCCUUACUUCUCUCCGAAAUAAAAUACAAAUGAUUUGUCUGGGGAAAAUAGCUAAAUCAGAAAAAACAAAAAACAACUCAUGUUCCUAUUUUUUAAGAAAAUGUUUGAUGUUUGUUAUUGUCUAUAUAAAUGGUGAAACAUUAUGAGUACUAUACAGUCAGCAGGUGCUCUAAUUAAUGAAUAAAACAGUAAAAUCCUCAAAAUAAACACAAUCAAACAAAUGUGAUUAACUACUAUGCUUAUGUUUAGUUGCUUUCAAUCACGUUGGGUUUGAAAAAAUCAUAAUAAUGGAGAUAAUAAAAGUUCUAUGCAAUGAUUUUAAUUCCGAAUCAAACAUUGAACUGGACUAUUAUUUGGAUUACGGGAUCAACGAUUCGACCGGAUGCGUCAAUAGUGUAAUUAUUUUUACCAUAUAAUUAUACAUAACUAUGAAAAAUAUAGUAAAAUAUUUAAAAUUUAUCUUUCUUCACAUACUAAAUAUCAAAAGAAAAAUUAAAAACUAUGGAAAUGUCUUUGUAACAAGUUGGGAAUUAGAACAUAUAAUAAAAAUAUAACAAAAUCAAUAUUAAAAAUAUUUAAAUUUAUAAUGUGAAUACAAAAAAAAAUUAAUAAAAAGUGAUCUAGAAGCAAAUAUGAAAAUUGUAAUACUGUAUAUAACAAAAAGUUAAUAACAAAUCACAUUGUUUAGUUUUGGUUAUAUUCAUCUUUAUUCACUUCAUUUUUAGAUGCAUAGUGAAAUUUUCAUCAAAAGUUAAAGAAUCACAAAUCAAAUAAGUUAGGGAAUAUUAUACAUGAUUAAAAGAAAAUAUAAAAAUCAGUUAAUUAAAAAAAAACUAAAAAAGUCACUCAUCGGUUUAACACGUAGUAGAGUCUUAGGUUUUAACGAAUUUCUGGAUGUUUUAGCGUUUUUUUUACAACAAUAAACUAAACUAUAAAACUUGCUCUAUAGGUUCAGAAAACCAAACCGGAAAAAAUCCCAAGUCAAAUUACAUAUCAUCACCGGAUUUACCGGUUCGAUCGUGAAUCCGAGUUGGGUUAUAAAAACAUAUAGUGUGUUUGUAAAGCAAUAAUAAAAAGGUUUUUUUACCAUUUGUAUUAACAUUAAAAAUUGUCUCAAUUCUAUAUAAAACAUUUUUUCUCACAUUUAGCUAACUUUUUUGUUUACCAAAUUAUCUUUUUAAUUUAAUGUUUCAUUACCUUCCACGUCAUUAGAGAUGUUCCUCAUGUGUGUUGAUAUUUCAAAAUUAAAUAUAGUUAAAACUGUUUUAGGCCAAUAACAAAGAGAUCAUUAAUUAAUACUAUCUACAUACAAGAAAAUUUUUAGAAAACUAAAAUAUUUAUUAGAUAUAAUCCGCGCGAAGCGCGGACAAAAGCUCUAGUUAUUAUAACAGAGCAUCAGUACCGUAGGUUCUCACUCAAUAUCUCAUCAUUUAAUUAAAACAAAUUUAUUAGAAAAGCAGGAAAUAGACAAGUGAAAAAAUUCCGUAUCAAAAUUUUAAUUUGAGAUGAAUUUGUGAGACACUUGUAAGAACCUCAAUUUCCCUGUGGCGUCUAUCAAUUAAUUCACGUAAUAUAAAAAAUAAAAGUAAAUAUAUAAUUGAAAUAUUAAUAUUUUCCUACUCUUAGUAUCAUAAAUCCAUUAACCCAUGAAACUAUCUAAAACACACAAACCCUACUAAUAUUAGCCCAGACCAUAAACUUGUGAACAAUAAAGUGGUAGUUCAAAUUGGGCAACUUGGUGGGGGCAUGAAAAGACAAGAAGAUUAAAAGAAUGAGACAGAGAGUGAGGUGCAAAAUGAUAAGACUAGGGUCGUUCUUAUCCACUUAUGAACGAGAACGUGUUUUCUGUGACCAGUUUACAUGUUAAUCUCUUUGUUUCCUUCUCCUUACCAACCUUUCUUUCUUCCCAAAUAUUACUUUCCUACGAGAUUUCUUCUGCCUCAAUAAAUAAAAUAUCUAUGAGAUCUUUGAUUGUGAACAGAAUCUAUACAUCCUAAUCAACCUCGGAGCUACUCUGGUUCACUCACUAUACAAUCUUCUUUUGUGUCUUCUUUAAGAUUGAAUGUGAUUUUAAAACGCACUUCCUUUACAAGAUCCCACCAAUAAAACUAUUGACACUAUUUUACACAUACAUAUUCCCUUGUGAAUAUUUCUUUAUUUUUGUUCGGUUUUAUAGAAUAUUUCUUUAUUUUUUCGGUUGUGUGAAAUCAUAUCAUUUUAGUUUUAUUACAAGUUAAUCAAUUAUCAAUAACAAAGUGGAUGGUUCGCCAAGCUCUGUUCAAUGUGCACAGAGAGUUUUUAAUGAGUCUGCUGUUCUUAGUCUUCAACCCCAAGACAGUAACAUUUUGUGAUGAUGCAACAUAUUCGUAUAACCAUAAAAAAAAAACUAGAUUACUAAAGACAGUAAAAUACUCCUAACAAUACAAGACAGUAAAAUACUCCUAACAAUACUGGUUUUUAUUCUCGACACUAACAGACAAGACAAACGUAUAAAUAUAUAUAUGUUAGUGUUUCAAAUAAAAAAAUGAACCUACAAUUAGAGACUAAACCAUUACAACAAUGCUCAAAUACAUAGACGCCUGACGCCUUCUCCUGCUGGUAA